rnacentral:rRNA from 1 species
AUUGAACGCUGGCGGCAUGCCUUACACAUGCAAGUCGAACGGCAGCACGGGAGCAAUCCUGGUGGCGAGUGGCGAACGGGUGAGUAAUAUAUCGGAACGUGCCCAGUCGUGGGGGAUAACGUAGCGAAAGCUACGCUAAUACCGCAUACGAUCUACGGAUGAAAGCGGGGGAUCGCAAGACCUCGCGCGAUUGGAGCGGCCGAUAUCAGAUUAGCGAGUUGGUGAGGUAAAGGCUCACCAAGGCGACGAUCUGUAGCUGGUCUGAGAGGACGACCGGCCACACUGGAACUGCGACACGGUCCAGACUCCUACGGGAGGCAGCAGUGGGGAAUUUUGGACAAUGGGCGCAAGCCUGAUCCAGCAAUGCCGCGUGCAGGAUGAAGGCCUUCGGGUUGUAAACUGCUUUUGUACAGAACGAAACGGUCCUUUCUAAUACAAGGGGCUAAUGACGGUACUGUAAGAAUAAGCACCGGCUAACUACGUGCCAGCAGCCGCGGUAA